rnacentral:tRNA from 1 species
UGAGGCUGUAGCUCAGUGGUAAAGCACUUGCCUCACAUGCGUGAGGCACUGAGUUCGAUCCUCAGCAUCACAA